ACAAAAAAAACAUACAAUCCAUACUCAUUGUAUAAACUCCAUUCUAUACCAGGCGCCCUUCUAGUACCUGUUGGCCUCUGCCCUAAAUUCCUGAAAGAUGAGCUCCUACCAUUCUGCACCCUCUCCAGAGUGGUGUAACUGCAGUGAGAUCAUUAACCGCUUGCUCUGGCUUCUGUGAAUGCACUGAUUGCUGUGUACAGGGGAAUGAGACAGCUCCUUUAUUGCCAUGUAGCUGAGGAGAGUGAAACAGCCUCAUAAAGCUACAAAUUCCACAGGAACAGCUUUUGUUUUUACAGUGUCGGCAUAGGUUUCCCAUAGCAGCCCUGCUUUGCAGUCCACCUCCACAGGCUCCGCCCAGCAUGUGCUGACUGAUGCUUCUUAAGAGCUAUACUUUUUUGGUUAAUGUAUUCUGAACUUAUUUAAAGGGCACAGGAAAGUGUGAUAUAAAGGAGGAAGUGGAGUGGAAAGAAGAAAUUAAUGAGGACAUUUCACACUUCUCCUUUUGCCAGUUAAUAAACUUGUUUUGGAAAAUACACAGGUCACCCUCAGUGCACAAAGCAUUUUCUUGCGUCUCUUUAGAAGUAUGCUUGUAGCAGAGGUGUAAAUGGUGGCUGGUCCUCUGUGAAGAAUCCUGUUACUACCAUGAAGAAUAAGCAAGGGGGCAUAUUCAGUACAGUGCACCUGAGUUUUUCCCUGAUAAGGCUUUUCUUUCUGUCCUGAAUGUUGUCCUUUAACCAGUGAACAAACCCGAGGGAUCCACCUGCCCUCCAUUCGUUACUGCCCUCUUGAUUGCUCCUCGUUAUUCUCUGUCUCUCAAGACUAGUCAGCAUCACCCACUACCUACACUCCCUCACCACACAGCCGCAUCUUUGAUAUAUGCCUCCACCUUGUCACUCCCUCACUUUGACAUUUGGCCCGGGCACACAGGUCUUGCCCUUAGUAUAGA